rnacentral:rRNA from 1 species
AUUGAACGCUGGCGGCAGGCCUAACACAUGCAAGUCGAACGGAUGAAGGGAGCUUGCUCCUGGAUUCAGCGGCGGACGGGUGAGUAAUGCCUAGGAAUCUGCCUGGUAGUGGGGGAUAACGUCCGGAAACGGGCGCUAAUACCGCAUACGUCCUGAGGGAGAAAGUGGGGGAUCUUCGGACCUCACGCUAUCAGAUGAGCCUAGGUCGGAUUAGCUAGUUGGUGGGGUAAAGGCCUACCAAGGCGACGAUCCGUAACUGGUCUGAGAGGAUGAUCAGUCACACUGGAACUGAGACACGGUCCAGACUCCUACGGGAGGCAGCAGUGGGGAAUAUUGGACAAUGGGCGAAAGCCUGAUCCAGCCAUGCCGCGUGUGUGAAGAAGGUCUUCGGAUUGUAAAGCACUUUAAGUUGGGAGGAAGGGCAGUAAGUUAACACCUUGCUGUUUUGACGUUACCAACAGAAUAAGCACCGGCUAACUUCGUG